GGCAGUGUAGCAUAGCGGUAAGGAGCAGGGCUCACAACCGAAAGGUUGCUGGUUCGAAUCCUUGCAGGGGCA